rnacentral:rRNA from 1 species
UGGGGAAUAUUGCACAAUGGAGGGAACUCUGAUGCAGCGACGCCGCGUGAACGAAGAAGGCUUUCGAGUCGUAAAGUUCUUUUAUAUGGGAAGAUAAUGACGGUACCAUAAGAAAAAGCCCCGGCUAACUACGUGCCAGCAGCCGCGGUAAUACGUAGGGGGCUAGCGUUGUCCGGAAUCACUGGGCGUAAAGGGUUCGCAGGCGGAAAUGCAAGUCAGGUGUAAAAGGCAGUAGCUUAACUACUGUAAGCAUGUGAAACUGCAUAUCUUGAGAAGAGUAGAGGUAAGUGGAAUUUUGAGUGUAGCGGUGAAAUGCGUAGAUAUUAAGAAGAAUACCGGUGGCGAAGGCGACUUACUGGGCUCAUUCUGACGCUGAGGAACGAAAGCGUGGGUAGCAAACAGG